CUGUGACGUCAGCAAAGCUUAGACAAUAUGGGGUAAAUCGCAUAACAGUUUAAUUUGGAAACUAUAAAAUUGGCGAAUGGAAUACCACACCAAUUAUAGGCCAAUUAUCCCACUCUUUUGAAAUGUGAAUCGUGACUUUAAGCCUGGAGGUCGGGUGUUCGAUCCCUGCAUUGGCCGAGAAAGUUUAUCCAGAUUUUCCGGCGUGGUUCCCCCUUGUCAGUGAUGCAGGACGGAGGGCUUGGCAAGGACAGCUGUCUAGUCGUUCGGAUGGGACGAAAAACCGAGGUCCCGUGUACACAUUGGCGUGCACGUUAAAGAUCCCUUGACAGUUGGCGUAUGCCCGUCUUCAUUAGCCCAGUUUGGAGCAGAACAGUAGGACAUUAAACCCCAUUUCAUUUCAUUUCAUUUCUCUCUGUUUCAACAGAUUACGAAAUUCCAAUCUGCUCUGGAAUAGUACUAGUUAUCCCCCCUUAACACAUAGAAAGAACCAACAAAAUGGCCCGACAGACGGCAUGCUCUGAGCAUAGAAAAUGGUAAUCCAACAUAAACAAUACAUAUGAUGAAUUGAAAAACAUGCACAUAGAUUAAGAGUCUUGGUUAGACCUGCCAUGUACAUAGAUUACGAGUCUUGGUUAGGACUGCCAUGUUUAUAAAUGUCUAAAUAAUAAGUUAGUUUCGAAAAUGUUCCGUUAUAUUUUCUGUCAAAAUGUUUGUUUUGUUUUGUUUUGUAAUUUGAUAAUUCGGAUUCGUUGGAAAUAAUUGUUGGAUUAGAUAAUUACGUUGUCCAAGUUUUACACGGUACUACGCUACUAGGACUGUAAAAUCUGAAUAUCGAUAAGUUUUUAUCGUCGAGAUCAGGUCAUACAGUUAAGUUUUUGCAUAUGAUUGCCAAGGAAAAUAGAAAUACAGGUAGUCGCUUUUCACAGAGGCAGGGGCGGAUUAAGACCCAAAGAGGCCCUUAGCACUUACAGGAUUUUAUUACCCUGAAAAGGAAUAUAAUAUACAAUUCAAAAUAUUUUAAACAGUAUUAAACCAUAAACAACCACCAAGCACGUGAUUGGAGUUUUUCUGGGGUUUUAUUACACGUCAUUAUUAAUUGCGACAAAACAGGUCACAGUAAGAAAAGGCAAAAACCUUAAAUUUGGUAGCAUACUAAAGCAGACAUCCUGUGGUACCCCCAUUCCCAUGAUGCCCUAAGCACUUGCUUAUUUGUUUAAAAGACCAAUCUUGAUUAUACUUUGGAGAAUAAAACUGCUUAAUUUUGUGUUAAAAGCCCUUAAAAUCCUCUACCUUCGGGCCGAGCAACUAACUGAAUAUACAUGAUACGUUUUCAAACAACUUAAAGGACAAUACGAGUCAUACCUCUAUAUUACUGACUGAUGUGACGAGUGAUAACAGAUACACGGCCGAAUUUCUGCUCAAUAAAAAUUCCUGAGCUGAAAUUUUGAGACAUUCAUCUAUAUGUUGGCGCUUAAAUUUCAUAUGUACACGGACUUUUAUUUCUGAGACUCUGUUAAAAUCGGGAUGGCCCCUUUAGUGGUUAAUCCAACCCUGUUCUUAUAUUUAGAAGAAAAACCCAUGCCCUUUCUGUGCGACGAAAUACUAAGAUCCCAAUAUUUUGCACUACCAGACUGAAUCCCCAUACUUUGAAUGUCAAAUAGAUGUCCAGGUAUAUAUUACAAUCUUUAGCCAGAUAAAAAGGUUUGCAGCUUAUAGUUUUAAAUUGAUCUUGUUCAGAAUUCUGUGUUCAAAACAUCGCUUUAGAUAGCGGUAAUUAGUGAUGGAUGUCGGCAACUGGGAAGAGUAUGAUUAUUCUUUAUAGAACACUUGUUUGGGUAAUUCACAUAGAUAACAAAGUUUGUUUACUUUUGAUAUUAGAACAUUUAGGACAUGUAGUGCUUUUAUCAGGUCACUGUCACCUUGUAUAUAUUGCUUACAAGAUUUCAUGUUAAAAUCGGGGAUCACGUGGCUAAGUGGGUAAGACGCUGGCUCGAUAGCCUGGAGGUCGGGUGUUCGGUCCCUGCAUUGGCCGAGAAAGUUCAUCCAGAUUUUCCGGCGUGGUUUCCCCUUGUCAGUGAUGCAGGAAGGAGGGCCUGAUAAGGACAGAUGUCUAGUCGUUCGGAUGGGACGAAAAAUCGUUGAACUCCAAUGUCUCGACCAAUCAAAUUGCUUACCGCUCUGCUUAAUCCGAGCAGAAAAUGCUCAUUAUCGAACUU